GUACUCACUUCAAGCACCUAUAUUAAAACUGGAACUAUGCAGAGAAAAUUAGCAUGGCCCCUUGUACAGGAAUGACAUGCUAAUUCAUGAAGCCUUCCUUAUUUUU
ensembl:snRNA U6 U6 spliceosomal RNA